GGGGGCGAGGACUAAUGGAGCCUCUGAGCGGCGCGAAAGCUAGGGUUAAAACCCUAGCAGGGAGUUGAAGCUUUUUUAUUUUAUUUUUUUAUUUUAUUCUGGUUCAUACAAAUGAUUUUUUUAUGUAGAAACUUGGUUUAAAUAAUAAUGCAAUACGACGCCGUUUUGAGGUAGGGGCACCAGUGCCAAAAUGGCGCCGUUUGGUCCUUUGACCUGCACGAUGAC
rnacentral:lncRNA from 1 species